CGACGGGGCAGGGCGAGCGGUUCGCCCCCGGCGAGCGGCACCCCCGGUGUGGCCGCCUCCUGCAGCCGGUACCCUCUGAGACGAGGCAGCUCCUUCACAUUCCUGACUCCAGGCCCACACUGGGAUUUCACCCUGAAAAGGAAGCGCCGAGAGAAGGACGAUGACGCCAUCAGCCUGAACAGCCUCGACUUUAAG